CCUACGGGGGGCAGCAGUGGGGAAUAUUGCGCAAUGGGCGAAAGCCUGACGCAGCGACGCCGCGUGAGGGAUGAAGGUCUUCGGAUCGUAAACCUCUGUCAGCAGGGAAGAACGGUCACUGUGCUAAUCAGCAGUGAAUUGACGGUACCUGCAAAGGAAGCACCGGCUAACUCCGUGCCAGCAGCCGCGGUAAUACGGAGGGUGCGAGCGUUAAUCGGAAUUACUGGGCGUAAAGCGCUCGUAGGCGGUAUGUCAAGUCAAGGGUGAAAUCCCCGCGCUCAACGUGGGAACUGCCUUUGAAACUGGCAAACUGGAGUGUGUGAGAGGAGAGUGGAAUUCCAGGUGUAGGAGUGAAAUGCGUAGAGAUCUGGAGGAACAUCAGUGGCGAAGGCGACUAUCUGGCACAUAACUGACGCUGAGGAGCGAAAGCGUGGGGAGCAAACAGGAUUAGAUACCCUGGUAGUC
rnacentral:rRNA from 1 species